GAUGAGAACGUAGCGAAAUGCGAUAAGUAAUGUGAAUUGCAGAAUUCAGUGAAUCAUCGAAUCUUUGAACGCACAUUGCGCCCCUUGGUAUUCCGAGGGGCAUGCCUGUUCGAGCGUCAUUAUAACCCUCAAGCUCAGCUUGGUGUUGGGGCCUGCUGCACUGGCAGCCCUUAAAAUCAGUGGCGGCGCCAUCUGGCUCUAAGCGUAGUAAUUCUUCUCGCUAUGGAGUCCUGGUGGAUGCUUGCCAUCAACCCCCAAUUUUUCUAUGGUUGACCUCGGAUCAGGUAGGGAUACCCGCUGAACUUAAGCAUAUCAAUAAGCGGAGGA
rnacentral:misc_RNA from 1 species